AAUGAACGCUGGCGGCGUGCCUAAUACAUGCAAGUCGAGCGGACGCACGAGAAGCUUUCUUCUUUGCUGUUAGCGGCUGGCGGGCGAGUAAGACGUGGAUAACCUACUUCUAAGUCUGGGAUAACUUCGGGAAACCGGAGCUACUACCGGCUCAUACUUUCAACGGCUUGGUUCAGAAGUGCUUGACAGUCUUGCCGUUUGUUAUAGCUGGAUCCGUGCUGCAUUAGCUAGUUGGUAAGGUAACGGCCUACCAAGGCAACGAUGCAUAGCUGACCUGAGAGGGUGAUCGGCCACACUGGAACUGAGACACGGUCCAGACUCCUACGGGAGGCAGCAGUAGGGAAUCUUCCGCAAUGGGCGAAAGCCUGACGGAGCAACGCCGCGUGAGUGAUGAAGGCCUUCGGAUCGUAAAGCUCUGUUAUUAGGGAAGAACAGAUGUAUAAGUAGCCGUGGACAUCUUGACGGUACCUAAACAGAAAGCCACGGCUAACUACGUG
rnacentral:rRNA from 1 species